GGGGUGGGGCUUACCAUGCAGUCGAACGAUGAACCGGUUUCGCCGGGGAUUAUGGCGAACGGGUGAGUAACACUGGGCAAUCUGCCCUGCCUCUGGGACAGCCCUGGAAACGGGGUCUAAUACCGGAUAUGACCACCGGCCGCAUGGCUGGUGGUGGAAAGCUCCGGCGGUGCGGAUGAGCCCCGGCCUAUCACUUGUUGGUGGGGGAUGGCCUACCAGGCGACGACGGGAGCCGGCCUGAAGGGCGACCGGCCACCUGGGACUGAACACGGCCCAACUCCUACGGGAGGAGCAGUGGGGAAUAUUGCACAAUGGGGCAAGCCUGAUGCACGACCCGCGUGAGGGAUGACGGCCUUCGUUGUAAACCUCUUUCCAGGAAGAAGCGCAGUGACGGUACCUGCAAAAGCACCGGCUAACUACGUGCCACACCGCGGUAAUACGUAGGGUGCGAGCGUUGUCCGGAAUUAUUGGGCGUAAAGAGCUCGUAGCGGCCUGUCGCGUCGGAUGUGAAAGCCCGGGGCUUAACCCCGGGUCUGCAUUCGAUACGGGCAGGCUAAGUUCGGCAGGGGAGAUUGGAAUUCCUGGUGUACGGUGAAAUGCCAAUAUCGAGGAACACCGGUGGCGAAGCGGAUCUCUGGCCGAUACUGACGCUGAGACGAAGCGUGGGAGCAACAGGAUUAGAUACCCUGGUAGUCCACGCCGUAAACGUUGGGCACUAGUGUGGGCGGCAUUCCACUCUCCGUGCCGCAGCUAACGCAUUAGUGCCCCCGCCUGGGAUAGGCCACGGCUAAACUAACGGAUUACGGGCACGCACAUGCAGUCGAGCAUGUCGCCUCAUUCGACGCACGCGAGAAUCUUUCCGAAUGGCUUGA
rnacentral:rRNA from 1 species